rnacentral:rRNA from 1 species
GACGAACGCUGGCGGCGUGCUUAACACGUGCAAGUCGAACGGAAAGGCCCUGCUUUUGUGGGGUGCUCGAGUGGCGAACGGGUGAGUAACACGUGAGUAACCUGCCCUUGACUUUGGGAUAACUUCAGGAAACUGGGGCUAAUACCGGAUAGGAGCUCCUGCUGCAUGGUGGGGGUUGGAAAGUUUCGGCGGUUGGGGAUGGACUCGCGGCUUAUCAGCUUGUUGGUGGGGUAGUGGCUUACCAAGGCUUUGACGGGUAGCCGGCCUGAGAGGGUGACCGGCCACAUUGGGACUGAGAUACGGCCCAGACUCCUACGGGAGGCAGCAGGGGGGAAUAUUGCACAAUGGGCGGAAGCCUGAUGCAGCAACGCCGGGAGCGGGAUGACGGCCUUCGGGUUGUAAACCGCUUUCGCCUGUGACGAAGCGUGAGUGACGGUAAUGGGUAAAGAAGCACCGGCUAACUACGUG